AUGCCUGAGAAAGUGAUGAACCAUGGAGAGGAGGAAGUGGAGACUUUUGCAUUCCAGGCAGAAAUUGCUGAAGCCUCUAGUGUGUUCAUAAUGGACAGCUAUGAUGAGUUGAUAUCAGAGUACCUGAACUUUAUCUGUGGUGUAGUUGACUCUAAGGACUUGCCUCUGAACAUCUCCCAAGAAAUGCUCCAGCAAAGUAAAAUCUUGAAAGUCAUUCAUAAAAAAAAUAUUAAGAAGUGCCUUGAGCUCUGCUCUGAGCUGGCAGAAGACAAGGAGAACUAUAAGAAAAUCUAUGAAACAUUCUCUAAUAACCUAAAGCUUGGACUCCAUGAGAACUCAACUAGUCAGCAAUGCCUUUCUGAGCUUUUGCACUAUCACACGUCCCAGUCUGGAGGUGAAAUGACUUCUCUUUCAGAAUAUGUCUUUCAUAUGAAGAAGAUAUAGAAGUCCACCUAUUAUAUCACUGAGGAGAGCAAGUUGCCAGCUCUGAUUUUGUGGAGCGACUUGGAAAUGGGGCUUUGAAGUAGUAUAUAUAAAGGAGCCCAUCGAUGAAUACUGUGUGCAUCAGCUCAAGGUGUUUGAAUGAUAAAGCUUGGUCUCAAUUAUCAAGGAGGGCCUGGCACAACCUGAGGAUGAAGAGGAGAAAGAGAAAAUGGAAAAGAUCAAGGCCAAGUCUGAGAACCUCUGCAAACUCAUGAAAGAAAUCUUGGAUAUGAAGGUUGAGAAGUGACAGUCUCCAAUAGGCUUUUGUCUCCACCCUGCUGCAUUGUGACUAGCACCUAUGGCUGGACAGCUAACAUGGAGUGUAUCAUGAAAGCCCAGACACUUUAGGAUAACUUUAUAAUGGGCUACAUGAUGGCCAAAAAGCACCUGGAGAUCAACCCUGACCAACCCAUUGUGGAGACUCUGCACCAGAAGGUGGAGGCAGACAAGAAUGACAAGGCUGUCAAGGACCUUAUGGUGUUACUGUUUGAAACUGUGCUGCUCUCUUCUGACUUUUCACUUGAGGAUCAUCAGACCUACUCCAACUGCAUCUACUGCAUGAUCAAGUUAGGCCCCGGCAUUGAUGAUGAUGAAGUGACAGCAGAAAAACCCAGUGCUGCUGUACCUGAUGAGAUAGAUUCUGAGAGUGAUGAGAAUGUCUCUUGCAUGGAAGAAGUAGAUUAAGAGUUUACUUGC